rfam:Gossypium raimondii Chr12_contig_698, whole genome shotgun sequence.
UGUUAAAUAUUUCAUCUAUUUGUAUUGUCAAAAAACAGUGUGGCCGAUGGAAUAACCGGACAGUGACAUGAGGUAUGCAAUCAUACUAAUGUACAUGAACUAGUUUUUAAUAGUAGAAAUGGAUGAAAUUUUUAACA